CGAUAAUUCGAUGGUUUUGUGAUGUCAUGUUGGUGAACAUGUUAACGUAUCCAACUUCACACUCUAUGAAUGGAUGAAUGAAAGAACGAAUGCCGCUCCUUUCUAACUAUAUAGAAAAGAUAGAGUAGGAAAUAACAAAAAUGUCAAAAAUAACACUGCAAAAUUUAAGUGUCCUAGAACAGUGCUUAAAGCUGAAUUAACAUGAUGAUUUUAAAUUUGUAUUGUUUAUUUCUUGUCAUUGCGACUUUGACGCAGCUGUUGUCAUGACAACAGAUAACAAAACAUGUUUUGUUGAAGGAUUAUUGAUGAAUAAUUUUCCACAAAAAAUUGGAUUUUAACCACGAUAGGAAAAUGAGAACCUGCGCCUAUCCGUUUAAACCGAUUGUAGAAUUUAUGGAAAGAUAUGGCGAUCUGAGUAUGCCCACUGAAGGGCCCCAAGAAAGAGCCAACAAUAGUCAAUGGUGGGUGGAACUAACGGACACGCGAACGUGAAAUGCUGAUGCCACCGGCGACACCAAAACUACUGAGAAAUUGAGAAAAGUGUGGAGUGACUUUAAACAGCAAGAAGAAGGCAACUCGCAUACACAGAGCUGCCAAGAGAACACUGGACUGGUGGCGGUCCAGGUUCUUCCCUGAAGCCAAAGGAUUUAGAGCAGAGUGCUUGUAAAUAACUACUUGUAAAUUAAAUCCAUAAUAAAGACCUAGGGUAACUGGAUGGAUAUACCUACCUUAUUAUUGUAAAACUUAAGAUAUUAUAAUUAAUUAAAUACA